rnacentral:lncRNA from 1 species
GAAAUUAAAAAAAAAAAUCCAAAGUAAACAUUUUAAAAGAACUAAAUAGAAAUUUUAAAACUGAACAAUGCAGUGGCUGAAAUAAGAAGUCGCUGGGCAGUCCAGCAGCACAGGGCCAUGGAGUGGGUGUGAGGCUCGACCAGCGGAGGUCACCCCACCUGCACAGAAGGGCAGACGAGAUGGACAGGGGAGCAGAGCCGUCGGUGUCGGGGAGGCAGCUGCGCACACCUGGCGUUCCCACUGCAGGUCCCGGGAGAGAGGGAAGCCACACAGGAAAGGGACGUGAGGGGCAUGGCUGCAGGACUUCCAGGAUGAACUAAGGACAAACUGAAGCAACCGGGGCACAACCGGCACCACCAAGCUGCUGAAGGAACGGCAGGAGAAUGCGCCACCAGAGAAGGAGCACGUGAAGAGAACUGUGCUUGGAAAGACGGCGGAUUUCUCACCGGAAAUCGCAGGAGCCAGAAAGAAGGGCACAGAAUUUCUUAAAUGCUGAAGGAAAAGAACUGUCGAGAUUUCUGCAUCCAGUGACGAUUCUUUCCAGAGUGGGGGUGAGGGGACUCCUCAGAUGAAGGAGAACGUGGUCCCUACCCUGUACCAGCCAGCUCCGCACGGGUCUGAAUGUAAAGGGGACCACACACUCGGAAAACAGCCCGGAGCUGUGUGAACUGGGAUCAGGUCUUUGGAGGGCACCGAAAAUUCUCUCCAUUAAAGAGAAAAUGUGA